rnacentral:rRNA from 1 species
UACGUAGGGUGCGAGCGUUAAUCGGAAUUACUGGGCGUAAAGCGUGCGCAGGCGGUUGUGCAAGACAGAUGUGAAAUCCCCGGGCUUAACCUGGGAACUGCAUUUGUGACUGCACGGCUAGAGUACGGCAGAGGGGGAUGGAAUUCCGCGUGUAGCAGUGAAAUGCGUAGAUAUGCGGAGGAACAUCAAUGGCGAAGGCAGUCCCCUGGGCCUGUACUGACGCUCAUGCACGAAAGCGUGGGGAGCAAACAGG